AGCGAACGCUGGCGGCAGGCUUAACACAUGCAAGUCGAGCGGGCACUUUCGGGUGUCAGCGGCGGACGGGUGAGUAACGCGUGGGAACGUGCCCUCUGGUUCGGAAUAACUCAGGGAAACUUGAGCUAAUACCGGAUACGCCCUUUUGGGGAAAGGCUUGCUGCCGGAGGAUCGGCCCGCGUCUGAUUAGCUAGUUGGUGAGGUAACGGCUCACCAAGGCGACGAUCAGUAGCUGGUCUGAGAGGAUGAUCAGCCACACUGGGACUGAGACACGGCCCAGCCCCCUGGGGGGGGAGGCGGGGGGGAAUAUUGAACAAGGGGCGCAAGCUGAACCAGGCCAUGCGGGGGGAGGAAAGAGGGCGUAGGGGUGGAAAAGCUUUUUUCUCGGGACCGAAAAGGAGGGUCCGGGAGAAAAAAGCCCGGGAAACCUUCGUC
rnacentral:rRNA from 1 species